UGAUAGAUGAGAAGCACCUGACUUUGAAAAGGAACCGAACUCAAGCAGGCUGCAUCCUAAGCCCGAUUUGCCAAGUUGUUUCUCAUUAAACCUAAACCAACUCUUCAGCCGCGCCGCCUCGGGGACCGUAAGCCCCGCUCUGGUGGACGCCUGGAGUCGCCGCCUCCCGAGAGUCCACACCCCAUCUUGUCUCCAGCCUGCGCUGGGAAGAAGCUGAGGUCUGGAGGUCUUCCUCUGAAGGAGCACAGUCCAGGGAGCCACAGAAGGCUGCCUUGAGGAGUGGAACUGCUUCAGGGAUCAAUGCAAAGUGUCCCCUGUCAGGAGAAAAACCACUCAGAGGAG
rnacentral:lncRNA from 1 species